AUGAGUGAACUUUCUCUCUUCUUCCUGUCCACUCUCGAACCCUCUCCUCAUCUCUCUUUCUCAUCUCUCCCCCUCUCUAUGAACAACCUUGUCCGAGGGCACAACUCAAACAAACACCAAACAACAACAACGAAAGCGUCAUCUCCAUCCCCAUGAACCCAGGAUCGAUGGAAGAACCCCUCCGCUAAGUUUUUCUCUUUCCCUGCACUGUGUACAGUCAUUGUGCAAUCCUUCUCCGGCGAGUUCUCGCCGCCUCUUGCCAAGGUAAACCCUCUAGAACCUUUUAGAUCAUGUUUUAUUGUUAGAUUAGGUUAGUUUUAGGUGUUAACCACAUAUGGACGCAAGGAAAAGCUGAUGGGAGUCACUGUGCAAUUUCUGGAAAACCUAAAUUGUGGUCGUUUGACCACUUUACAAUCACUUUUCUUGCUAGCUCCAACCUCCGUCGAGUUUCAAAAAGGUAUAUAUCUCUUCCCUAUAUUUCUAACUCUAUAGAGAAUCCAGAAUUACUCAAUUUGGCAUUGUAUCGAGCUCGAAAAUGGCUCGAGAAGUUGGAUGAAAAUUUGGAAAAUUUCCAAAAAGCAAGGCGAGUACACCGUACUCGCGAGCGUGUGGUGUUGCAGUGCCCCCACAACUUUUCCGGUCAACUUUCCGAUGACUCAACUCGACGAGUGCGAUGGCGCGUGGCCCCAGGCCGCCGCUUUGUGACGGCGCAUGAGGGAACCCAAGGUCCCUCCUUAGGUUUUUCGACGUCCCGAAUUUGAAUUUGACGUCUGUAUUCCCAAAUUUAAUUGUUUUAGUAGGGUUUUACUAAUUGUUCCCUUUAUGUGCUUAGGUGUGUUUGUUAGUGGCGAUCCCGUCCUCUCUAGUUUGCACAACUCUUCGGCGACAGAGUAUCUGAUUUAGAAUCGAAGCAUAUGAUCUUGGCGUCAGGACAUUUCCGCAUAGGCAUCUUCGAGUCUUCUCAGUGUAGGACCCAUUCCUUUGUUCGUACCAUUUUAAAUUAAUUCUUUCACAGUAUUCUUGAUUAGUUGUAUACUCUGUACACGUUUCCGCAUUUGUUUAUUUCUUUAUAUACACAUGUUUUAUUUACCUUCGUUUACCGAUAUCACUUGCAUACAGGUUAAUAUGGCUUUGUCACCCUCGGGUGUUGGUCAACACGUGCCCAUCUUGGUAUUUGGAGAUAUGAGGAUAGGGGCGUGUCAACGUAGCUUAUCAAAUUUGCAAUAUUGAUUGUCAAGAGGCAAGAGCAACAAUUAUUUGUCGCAAAAGGAUAUGGAAGACUUAUCCAGAAAGUGUCCAUGGAUGUCACUCCACUGGAAAACUACAAGAUCAUACUUGAAUAUUAGUCAUUCGAUAGCUGCAUGAAUACAUGUCACAAGACUCUAGGAAUGAGUUUAUCAUAGUAGUCUUUCCACCACUAGAUGACGCAAUAGAACCACUAGUAUGGUUGAUAGGAGCAUAUUUAUACAACUUAGUUAGCUUGUUUC